AGAGUUUGAUCCUGGCUCAGGAUGAACGCUGGCGGCGUGCCUAACACAUGCAAGUCGAACGAAGCAUGCCGGAGGAAGUUUUCGGAUGGAAUCCGGGAUGACUGAGUGGCGGACGGGUGAGUAACGCGUGGGUAACCUGCCCUGUACAGGGGGACAACAGUUAGAAAUGACUGCUAAUACCGCAUAAGCGCACAGGACCGCAUGGUCCGGUGUGAAAAACUCCGGUGGUACAGGAUGGACCCGCGUCUGAUUAGGUAGUUGGCGGGGUAACGGCCCACCAAGCCGACGAUCAGUAGCCGACCUGAGAGGGUGACCGGCCACAUUGGGACUGAGACACGGCCCAAACUCCUACGGGAGGCAGCAGUGGGGAAUAUUGCACAAUGGGGGAAACCCUGAUGCAGCGACGCCGCGUGAGUGAAGAAGUAUUUCGGUAUGUAAAGCUCUAUCAGCAGGGAAGAAAAUGACGGUACCUGACUAAGAAGCCCCGGCUAACUACGUG
rnacentral:rRNA from 1 species